rnacentral:rRNA from 1 species
CCCCAGUAAACGGCGGCCGUAACUAUAACGGUCCUAAGGUAGCGAAAUUCCUUGUCGGGUAAGUUCCGACCCGCACGAAAGGCGUAACGAUUUGGGCACUGUCUCAACAACAGACUCGGUGAAAUUGUAAUUCCGGUGAAGAUGCCGGAUACCUGCGACAGGACGGAAAGACCCCAUGGAGCUUUACUGUAGCUUGACAUUGGGUCUUGGUACUACAUGUACAGGAUAGGUGGGAGGCUUUGAAACCAGGACGCCAGUUUUGGCGGAGCCAUCCUUGGGAUACCACCCUUGUAGUACUGGGACUCUAACCAUAGGCCAUGAAUCUGGUCUUGGGACACUGUCAGGUGGGCAGUUUGACUGGGGCGGUCGCCUCCCAAAAGGUAACGGAGGCGCUCAAAGGUUCUCUCAGUACGGUCGGAAAUCGUACGUAGAGUGUAAAGGCAAAAGAGAGCUUGAUUGCAAGACAUACAGGUCGAGCAAGGAUGAAAAUCGGACUUAGUGAUCCGGUGGUUCUGCGUGGAAGGGCCAUCGCUCAACGGAUAAAAGCUACCCUGGGGAUAACAGGCUUAUCUCCCCCAAGAGUCCACAUCGACGGGGAGGUUUGGCACCUCGAUGUCGGCUCAUCACAUCCUGGGGCUGUAGUAGGUCCCAAGGGUUGGGCUGUUCGCCCAUUAAAGUGGUACGCGAGCUGGGUUCAGAACGUCGUGAGACAGUUCGGUCCCUAUCCGUCGCAGGCGUAGGAAAUUUGAGAAGACCUGUCCUUAGUACGAGAGGACCGGGAUGGACGUACCUCUGGUGUACCAGUUGUCCUGCCAAGGGCAUGGCUGGGUAGCUAUGUACGGAAUGGAUA